GGAAGAAGGACAGGUUGGUGCUAGAACCGGUCCACGAACCUGGAGGCUGGUGAGGAAGGGGGUGAGGAGGAGGAGGAGGAGGAGGAGGAGGAGGAGAGUGGGCCCCGGGCUGCCAUUAUCCUCUCUCAACAGGGGUUUGAGACCGUCGGGCGGCUCGGCCGGCCUGCCAUCGGCCUGCCUACACAGUCUACGACACAAACUCUCCCUCCCACUCGCUCCAGCUCUCUCCUGCUCUGGCCCACUCGUUCUGCCGCCACCUACC